rnacentral:rRNA from 1 species
UAGGGAAUCUUGCGCAAUGGGCGAAAGCCUGACGCAGCAACGCCGCGUGGGGGAUGACGGCUCUAGGGUUGUAAACCCCUUUCAGCAGGGACGAAAAUGACGGUACCUGCAGAAGAAGCCCCGGCCAACUACGUGCCAGCAGCCGCGGUAACACGUAGGGGGCAAGCGUUGUCCGGAAUUAUUGGGCGUAAAGAGCUCGUAGGCGGUUUGGUAAGUCGGAUGUGAAAGCUCAGGGCUCAACCCGGAGAAGCCAUCCGAUACUGCCAUGACUAGAGUCCGGUAGAGGAGUGUGGAAUUUCUGGUGUAGCGGUGAAAUGCGCAGAUAUCAGAAGGAACACCAACGGCGAAGGCAGCACUCUGGGCCGGUACUGACGCUGAGGAGCGAAAGCGUGGGGAGCAAACAGGAUUAGAUACCCCCGUAGUCC